GGGUGGCUUUUAGCCGAGCGGUCUUCGGGGAUGAUUUCCGUAAAGGUGCAUGAGUGGUGUUUGGUUUGUUGCGGAUGGUUGGAUGUCUGCUUGUGCAGCAAUUUCCAUGCGGGCUUACCUCUUCAAUUGUGCUACAAGMCUUGUUUGGCUUGCAGCGUUCAGUGGGUUUCUUGUGUUGAUUACCUAAUCGAUGGCAUUGUUUGUMCCCAUUAGUGUGAUUUUGUAAAACGUUGCUUGCGGCGUGAUACAAACAAUGAAGCAACCUUUGUUGUUCAACCUGUUGCUGCUCAUGCAUCGAYGGCUUGGCCCAUGAAGUGUUGAUUGGUCCCUUGGAUACGGAACAUGAUGUGGGCACAAGUUCGUCAAAGAUCUUGUAUUUGCCCUAUUGAGUGAUUUA
rnacentral:misc_RNA from 1 species